CCUACGGGAGGCAGCAGUGAGGAAUAUUGGUCAAUGGAGGCAACUCUGAACCAGCCAUGCCGCGUGAAGGAUGAAGGUCCUCUGGAUUGUAAACUUCUUUUAUAGAAGAAGAAACCCCAUUUUUCUAAAUGGGUUGACGGUACUCUAUGAAUAAGCACCGGCUAACUCCGUGCCAGCAGCCGCGGUAAU
rnacentral:rRNA from 1 species